CNUNGGGGGGGCAGCAGUGGGGUNUUCCGCAAUGGNCAAGUCUGACGGAGCAACGCCGGUGAGUGAGGAAGGUUUUGGGAUNGUAAAACUCUGUUGUUAGGGAAGAACACGUACUGGAGUAACUGUCAGUACCUUGGCGGUACCUAACGAGAAACCCACGGCUAAUUACGUCCCAGCAGCCGCGGUAAUACGUAGGUGGCAAGCGUUGUCCGGAAUUAUUGGGCGUAAAGGGCGCGCAGGCGGCUUUUUAAGUCUGAUGUGAAAUCUCGCAGCUCAACUGCGAGCGGUCAUUGGAAACUGGGGAGCUUGAGUACAGAAGAGGAGAGUGGAAUUCCACGUGUAGCGGUGAAAUGCGUAGAGAUGGGGAGGAACCCCAGUGGCGAAGGCGGCUCUCUGGUCUGUAACUGACGGUGAGGCGCGAAAGCGGGGGUAGCGAACAGGAUUAGAUCCCCUGGUAGUCCACCCCGUAAACGAUGAGUGCUAGGUGUUAGGGGUUUCCACCCUUAGUGCUGCAGUUAACGCAAUAANCA
rnacentral:rRNA from 1 species